rnacentral:lncRNA from 1 species
UGUUGGUAAGGAAACCCAAACCUUUCCAUAAUAGUUUCAGGGCAGGUGUUGUUCCAGGCAGGGGAACUGAUCUUGGCAGGCAGCGCAUGGCAAAGAAAGAAAACUCCCAUUUCAGAUGGAUAGCCAGUCUGUACUCAGGCAGGAGAUGUUCUCCUGUGAACAGAAAGAAAAUAUUCCCCCCUUGGUGACUCACCUGAUCAGACUCUGCUUGAAAAAGCAUCUGACCUUGAAGCUGCUGCUGUGGAAUAGCUUUAUGUGGAGUUUUUGCCCAUGUGGAGAAGAAAAGGCAUUUCUUGUGUUCCGUGCAAGUGAACCUUUCCAAGGAGUUCUUUUUCAUGAAAAAUGGACGCCUGGCUCAGAGUAAAGGACAUGCAGUGCACAAUCCCUAGCAGAAGCUGAAAAUGGAUGAUGUCUACUGAUGCUUUUCAAUGAUGUCAUCUCCUCUUUUUCUGUUUGAGAUGGGUGAUAGGAAAAUGUUCUAAAAUAAGACUGAGUGACCUCUUCAUCCCUUGACUUCUCUUUCCACGAG